AGUCGAACGUGAAAGCACUUCGGUGUGAGUAGAGUGGCGGACAGGUGAGUAACGCGUGGGAAUCUGCCCAGUAGUGGGGGACAACUACCGGAAACGGUAGCUAAUACCGCAUACGCCCUAUGGGGGAAAGGCUUCGGCCGCUAUUGGAUGAGCCCGCGUCAGAUUAGCUAGUUGGUAGGGUAAAGGCCUACCAAGGCAACGAUCUGUAGCUGGUCUGAGAGGACGAACAGCCACACUGGGACUGAGACACGGCCCAGACUCCUACGGGAGGCAGCAGUGGGGAAUAUUGGACAAUGGGCGAAAGCCUGAUCCAGCAAUGCCGCGUGUGUGAAGAAGGCCUGCGGGUUGUAAAGCACUUUCAGUUGGGAAGAUGAUGACGUUACCAACAGAAGAAGCACCGGCUAAAUCCGUGCCAGCAGCCGCGGUAAUACGGAUGGUGCGAGCGUUAAUCGGAAUUACUGGGCGUAAAGCGCGCGUAGGCGGCUAAGUCAGUCAGAAGUGAAAGCCCCGGGCUCAACCUGGGAAUUGCUUUUGAUACUGCUUGGCUAAAGUUUG
rnacentral:rRNA from 1 species